GACGAACGCUGGCGGCGUGCUUAACACAUGCAAGUCGAACGAAGUGGCGAACGGGUGAGUACUACGUGGGUAACCUGCCCUCCUUUUUGGGAUAAGCCUUGGAAACGGGGUCUAAUACCGACUAAAGGGGGAUGGGCUCGCGGCCUAUCGGCUUGUUGGUGGGGUUGUGGCCUACCAAGGCGGUGACGGGUAGACGGCCUGUGCGGGUGACCGGCCACAUUGGGACUGAUAUACGGCCCAGACUCCGACGGGGGGGAGCAGUGGGGGAUAUUGCACAAUGGGCGAAAGCCUGAUGCAGCGACGCCGCGUGGGGGAUGAAGGCUUACGGGUUGUAAACCUCUUGCGCUAUCGAAAGUGUAGGUGGAGAAGAAGCGCCGGCUAACUACGUGCCAGCAGCCGCGGUAAUUC
rnacentral:rRNA from 1 species